GUUUUCCUUUGUGUAUGUUUUGUGGGCUUGGAAGAUUAUUUCUUGUCUCAAACUUGAGCUUUGGUUUCUCUGUGGUUGGCUUCCAUUCUCUCUCCAACUUACCUUGGUAUAUGUGUGUGGAGUUAGUCUCUUGGUGCUUUGGUCUCUUCUAUUCAGAGCUUUGUGGUUCUUCGUUGGCAUGAGCUCCUUGUAUGUGGUUGUUUUGUUUGUGAGGUGCUUCUUACCUUUUAGCUGGUGGUUUUGCUUUAUGCAUGUGUUUUCCUACUUCGUGGUGAUUUUGGUUUUCUGGUGAUUAUUCUUCCUGUGAUCCGUUUUUUUGGUGUUUUGGGUUGGUGCUUGAUCGCGUUCAUUUGUGUUCCAAACCUUUAUUGAUUUAGUGUUACUAUAAUAUUUUAUUUUUUCUUUGUGAUUGUGGAGAUUUAAGUUUAGAUUAUGUGUCUUAUUCUAGUUUUUUUUAGUUUAGUUAUUUUAUGAUUUUUAAUAGUAAAAUAAAUUAUAAUUUGUAAAUAAAAUAAUAGAAAAGAGUAAAAAAUAAUAAAAUAGUAAAAGUUUAUGUUAUUUUUAGUUGUGAAUAAAUAAAAUAUUUAAAAUCGAUUU
rnacentral:lncRNA from 1 species